rnacentral:rRNA from 1 species
GACGAACGCUGGCGGCGUGCCUAACACAUGCAAGUCGAGCGAAUGAAGUUCCUUCGGGAAUGGAUUUAGCGGCGGACGGGUGAGUAACACGUGGGCAACCUGCCUCAUAGAGGGGAAUAGCCUUCCGAAAGGGAGAUUAAUACCGCAUAAGAUUGUAGUAUCGCAUGAUACAGCAAUUAAAGGAGCAAUCCGCUAUGAGAUGGGCCCGCGGCGCAUUAGCUAGUUGGUGAGGUAACGGCUCACCAAGGCGACGAUGCGUAGCCGACCUGAGAGGGUGAUCGGCCACAGUGGGACUGAGACACGGCCCAGACUCCUACGGGAGGCAGCAGUGGGGAAUAUUGCACAAUGGGGGAAACCCUGAUGCAGCAACGCCGCGUGAGUGAUGACGGCCUUCGGGUUGUAAAGCUCUGUCUUCAGGGACGAUAAUGACGGUACCUGAGGAGGAAGCCACGGCUAGCUACGUG